UUUAACUUUCCUCUUUUUUUUUUAUAUAAAAAUGCCUCGCGAAAUGACUCGAAAAAUAAAGGACCUCCGCGUGGCCUGCAUUUUUCUACGAAUCCAUUAACUUUAUGUACGUCUAAUGUGGAAGCAAAGCGACAAGCAUUUCGAUUUUGAGCUUCUUUACUCUGAACGAAGAAGUGAAUUUAAUACACAAGAAUAAAAAAUAUAGUGCCAUGAACAACGAAGAUAUUUGACGUUCUACUCCCAUACUUGGAUCACCCUGUAUACGUAGCGUGUACCGACGCUUAUCGAUAAUUCGAUGAUCGUUACAAUUCGAUCACCGUGCAAUAACCAGGAUAACAAGCCGGUGGCGGGAGCGCGAUGGCAAUCGUGCAAUAUAAUUCACAAAAUCGACGAACGUCUUUAUCCCUUUCCGUUCCGUUUUCUAUCAGAUAUCCUUGCGUUUCUCUAAACUAGAUUAAGACGCGCCGCGAACAUCAAUUUCCUUGGAGGAAAAUCGAACUAAUCGACUCUCCAGAAAUGAGAAUCGAUCAGUUUUAACAUCGAUUUCCGCUCUACGCCAACCUAACCUCUCGCCGAUAGCACUAGCCGUCGAUAUUCCGUUUUUCCCCUCCAAAAGAUUGUUCGAUUUUGGUCGACGUAAAAUCCGCCUUUGUCAUGUAGCCGGUCAAGCGACGAAGGGAUAUGCUGCUGUUGCUGUCCCGGUGGCGUCUCAGCCUGCACGAAGCACGCCUCUUACUUGUUAGAAGUUCGUAUUAGCUCUUAAGCAGGGCUGUCUCAGUUCGCGUGUACACGCGAUGUUUAUUAAAUUUUCACUUUGCCCCGAUGAAGUUCGGCGUCUCCUAGCCGAACAUUCUUCGAACAAUGGGAUUUCAGCCGAUCAUCUCGUCGUGUUUCGAUGGAAACUUUGAAACUUGGCCUUUUGUAAGUUCCCGUAUCGCGCGAUAGAUGGUCUCACGUUCGUCUUAUUUCGUCGCUUUGCUGCGAUGCAACUUGAGUUAAGGCGCAAGGUAAUAUCGCGUCUGAACAAUGAAUGCGAUGAAGUGAGCUAUACCUAGAU